rnacentral:pre_miRNA from 1 species
AGGAGGAACAACCACAGUGGCAGCGGCCAGCUCCCCAGCCCUGGAGUCAGCUCCCGCAGUAGCUACAGAGCUCUCAGUCCGCAGGGGCCUGGAUGCUCCCCGGCGGG